CAGACAAGAUCGCGGGCAAGCGGACCGCGCAAAAGAAAAUAAGCGACUUCUUUGCGCCCAAGUGCUGACCUAUGAGGUAGCGCCGGUCACGUCGUACUUUUUUUUAUAUAUACUGCUCUUUUCAGAGCCACCUAAACGAUGCAUUGGCUGAAUUGCAAUGGGAAUCUUGUACUCCGGCCGUGACCCACUCCAUCAGCGAAAAAACCCUACCAAAAAGGUGCAUCCGGAAAAUUGGACUGCCCAAUUUUCCGGACGUUUUUGCGGUCCCUUGAGGGUCCGGGAAAUCGGACGUCGACUGUACAUGCUAAUUACGACGUUCU
rnacentral:lncRNA from 1 species